UACGGAGGGUGCAAACGUUGAUCGGAAUCAUUGGGCGUAAAGCGCACGUAGGCGGUUCGUUAUGUCGGAUGUGAAAGCCCUCGGCUCAACCGAGGAAGGGCAUCCGAAACUGGCGUGCUUGAGUAUGGAAGAGGGUCUCGGAAUUCCCGGUGUAGAGGUGAAAUGCGUAGAUAUCUGGAGGAACACCGGUGGCGAAGGCGGCGUCCUGGACCAACACUGACACUGAUGAGCGAAAGCCAGGGGAGCAAACGGG
rnacentral:rRNA from 1 species